GACGAACGCUGGCGGCGUGCGUAACACAUGCAAGUCGAACGAGAGAGUGAGAGAAGCUUGCUUUUCUACGAUCGAGUGGCAAACGGGUGAGUAACGCGUAAACAACCUGCCCCGCAGAUGGGGACAACAGCUGGAAACGGCUGCUAAUACCGAAUACGGUCCUCUUAGCGCAUGGUAAGAGGAAGAAAGGGUGCCUCUGGAACAAGCUACCGCUGCGGGAGGGGUUUGCGUCUGAUUAGCUGGUUGGAGGGGUAACGGCCCACCAAGGCGACGAUCAGUAGCCGGUCUGAGAGGAUGAACGGCCACAUUGGAACUGAGACACGGUCCAGACUCCUACGGGAGGCAGCAGUGGGGAAUCUUCCGCAAUGGGCGAAAGCCUGACGGAGCAACGCCGCGUGAGUGAAGACGGCCUUCGGGUUGUAAAGCUCUGUUAUAGGGGACGAACGGCCGGGUAGCGAAGAGGUAGCCGGCAUGACGGUACCGUAAGAGAAAGCCACGGCUAACUACGUGCCAGCAGCCGCGGUAAUACGUAGGUGGCAAGCGUUGUCCGGAAUGAUUGGGCGUAAAGGGCGCGCAGGCGGCUGUGUAAGUCUGUCUAGAAAGUGCGGGGCUAAACCCCGUGAGAGGAUGGAAACUGGACAGCUGAGAGUGUCGGAGAGGAAAGCGGAAUUCCUAGUGUAGCGGUGAAAUGCGUAGAUAUUAGGAGGAACACCGGUGGCGAAAGCGGCUUUCUGGACGACAACUGACGCUGAGGCGCGAAAGCCAGGGGAGCAAACGGGAUUAGAUACCCCGGUAGUCCUGGCCGUAAACGAUGGGUACUAGGUGUAGGAGGUAUCGACCCCUCCUGUGCCGGAGUUAACGCAAUAAGUACCCCGCCUGGGGAGUACGGCCGCAAGGCUGAAACUCAAAGGAAUUGACGGGGGCCCGCACAAGCGGUGGAGUAUGUGGUUUAAUUCGACGCAACGCGAAGAACCUUACCAAGCCUUGACAUUACUCGCAACGGGUAGAGAUACCCGGUUCUUCUUCGGAAGACGAGACAACAGGUGGUGCACGGCUGUCGUCAGCUCGUGUCGUGAGAUGUUGGGUUAAGUCCCGCACGAGCGCA
rnacentral:rRNA from 1 species